AACAAGGGCUUAGCUGUCUUCUUUUCCUGGUCAGUGAAAUUGACCUCCCCGUGCAGAGGCGGGGAUUUUUUUAUAAGACGAGAAGACCCUGUGGAGCUUUAAAUAAAUGAUAUUUUCUAGUAAUAAAGCGAGUGUAAGCAACGAAAUUUAUAGAUCUUAUUUAUUAUUUUUGGUUGGGGCGACCAUGGGGAAUACUUAACCCCCACAGUGGAAUGGGGAGAUUUUAAAAUUAAUUCUCCUUUCUCCAACUAAGAAAGACAUUUCUAAGUAGCAGAUCUUCUGUCCUUUUGAUCCGCCAUGCGAUUAACGGAAAUAGUUACC
rnacentral:rRNA from 1 species